GAUGAACGCUAGCUACAGGCUUAACACAUGCAAGUCGAGGGGCAGCAUGAACAAAGCUUGCUUUGUUUGAUGGCGACCGGCGCACGGGUGCGUAACACGUAUCCAAUCUGCCCGCGGCUCGGGGAUAGCCCAUCGAAAGAUGGAUUAAUACCCGAUGGCGUGGUUUCUCCGCAUGGAGUUUCCACUAAAGGUUUUCCGGCCGCGGAUGAGGAUGCGUAUGAUUAGGUAGUAGGCGGGGUAACGGCCCACCUAGCCUUCGAUCAUUAGGGGUUCGGAGAGGAAGGUGCCCCACACGGAAACUGAGACACGGUCCAGACUCCUACGGGAGGCAGCAGUGAGGAAUAUUGGUCAAUGGGCGAGAGCCUGAACCAGCCAAGUAGCGUGAAGGAAGACUGCCCUAUGGGUUGUAAACUUCUUUUGUUCGGGAAUAAAGUGCAGUACGCGUACUGUUUUGUAUGUACCGUUCGAAUAAGCAUCGGCUAAUUCCGUGCCAGCAGCCGCCGCGGUAA
rnacentral:rRNA from 1 species